UAAUACGGGGGGAGCAAGCGUUGUCCGGAUUUACUGGGCGUAAAGAGCGCGUAGGUGGGUCUGUAAGUCAAACGUGAAAGCCCCGAGCCCAACUCGGGAUCCGCAUUUGAAACUGCAGACCUUGAGUACAAAAGAGGAAGGCGGAAUUCCCGGUGUAGCGGUGGAAUGCGUAGAUAACGGGAAGAACACCGGUGGCGAAGGCGGCCUUCUGGUUUGAUACUGACACUGAGGCGCGAAAGCGUGGGGAGCAAACAGGAUUAGAUACCCUGGUAGUCCACGCUGUAAACGAUGGGCACUGGGUGUUGGUCCGUUAGGAUCAGUGCCGCAGCUAACGCGUUAAGUGCCCCGCCUGGGGAGUACGACCGCAAGGUUG
rnacentral:rRNA from 1 species